AAUGAUUUGUUAUUUAUUAAAUUUAGGCAUAGUUGUAAAAAGUACUGUGGUAUGAUAUAUCUUACUGAUUUUCAUUCAUGUUUCAGCAUUACAGAAUUCUCUUCAAACUUGAAUGUAGAAUUUCAAUUCAUAAGGGAUGCCAAAAUUUUAGCAUGUGCACUAUUUUCUCAUUUCUCCUCCCUCUUUAGAAACGGUGGAAAGAACUCUCAAAGGAAGAUGUAUCUCCUGCUUUUGAUCAUUCAUCAAACAAAAUAAUGACUGAAAAGUACAAUGGGAGCCGGGUAGUUCUAGAAGAAGAGAAGCUGGCGGGUGACCGAUGUACAGGGCUUUCAUCUAAAACGCAAGAAGCUGUGGAGGACAGCGAGAGUGUUCUACGGAAACGCAUGCGAGAGGACAGAAAAGCCACCACGGCGCAGAAGGUGCAGCAGAUGAAACAGAGGCUAAAUGAGACUGAACGAAAAAGGAAAAGGCCAAGAUUGACAGACACCUAAGUAUUCAUGACUUGAGAAUAUUCUGCAGCUCUAAGUUUUGAACCAUUGAUGUGCAAAGCAAGACCUGAAACCCACUCCGGAAACUGAAGUGAGGCUUGCUAAAACCUGUAGAUUGCCUCACAGUUGUCUGUUUACAAAGUAAACCUUACAUCCAGGGAAUGAAGAGCACCCACCAGCAGAAGACUUUGCAGAACCCUUUAAUUUCAUGUACUGUUCAAUGUUUUUUAAUGCGUGUAUGAAAUGUAGAAAGUUGUAAAAGAAAUAAAUUAGGAGAGAUUACUUUGUAUUGUACUGCCAUUCCUACUGUAUUUUUAUACCUUUUUGGCAGCAUUAAAUAUUUUUAUUAAAUAGA